UACGGCGGCGGCAGCCUCGGAGUUUCUCUGCGGGAAACCUCUCUCAUCACCUGGGUGGUUUGAAGUGAAGCCUCGGACGUUGGUGGUGUUCCUCCUCCAUCAGUGGAGGAAAACAGCGGCAACGUGAGAAACAGGAGAAGCUCUGCUGGACAGACAGACCUGCCCAGGCGGACACCUCAGAGGGAAUCUGAUACAGUCCAGAGGUCAAACCAGCUGUCUGUGGCUCAAUCACAAGAAACCGUUUCAGUCGUUCAGUCUCCGAUCAGCUCUGUCCAGGGCGUCUCAGCUUCCUCAGCCAGUUCAGCUGAAUACAUCUGAUGCUCUACUGGGCACAGGACAGGCGGCGUUGGCCUCUGCAGGCCUCCUGCUGGAGGAAAGAAGGCAUGGCUCUCUUGUCCACCUGCUGACGCCUCAUGCGGACGACGGCCGCAUCCACCUGAGCUGCCGCUCUCUUGCCGUGCAGGUUGUCCAGCAGCUGCAGAAAGGUGUGCUGCAGCCUCGCCAGCUCACCCUCAGAGGACGUUAGACAUCGCCUCAGCACUGCACUGCCCUGAGAGACACACAGGAAACACGUGCAGCCUGGUUUGGUUUGAAAUGCUCAGCAGGCCAUCAUUGAUGGAGCGGUGAACAGCCUUCUGCAGGGUGAUAGCGCUGAUUAGCAUCUGUCUGAUGUUUUGCCUCAGUAGCUGUGACUGGUUGACUGUCAAAAUGGACGAUUCCAAAACCUUUUUACAUUCUGCAAGAAGACAAAUUGAAACAGAUGUAAAAAUUGUUUCAUAAACAAUCAGUACGGCCACACAGAGCUACCAGCAUGGCUGCAGACUCUUAGUCUUGUCCUUCAUGGCCACAGUAGUUACUGCACUGUACUGUUUCCUCUGAUAUACUCUACAAAUACUGAUAUUCUCAUAUUGUAUUGUAUGUACAUUUUUUUGCCAAUAAAUAUGAUGUGUUUCUGGGUUUGGAACUGCCAAAGUGCUAUUUUGGCCUGACAAA